UACGGGGGGGCAAGCGUUGUUCGGAAUUACUGGGCGUAAAGGGCUCGUAGGUGGCCAACUAAGUCAUACGUGAAAUCCCUCGGCUUAACCGGGGAACUGCGUCUGAUACUGGAUGGCUUGAGGUUGGGAGAGGGAUGCGGAAUUCCAGGUGUAGCGGUGAAAUGCGUAGAUAUCGGAGGAACACCGGUGGCGAAGGCGGCAUCCUGGACCAAUUCUGACACUGAGGAGCGAAAGCCAGGGGAGCAAACGG
rnacentral:rRNA from 1 species